rnacentral:rRNA from 1 species
UACAGAGGGGGCAAGCGUUAUUCGGAAUUAUUGGGCGUAAAGGGCGCGUAGGCGGCCUGGCAAGUGGAAGGUGAAAUCCCUCGGCUUAACCGAGGAACUGCCCUCCAAACUGCUUGGCUUGAGACCGGGAGAGGUGAGUGGAAUUCCCAGUGUAGCGGUGAAAUGCGUAGAUAUUGGGAGGAACACCAGUGGCGAAGGCGGCUCACUGGACCGGAACUGACGCUGAUGCGCGAAAGCGUGGGGAGCGAACAGG